CUAACCAGAGGGUGUGGCUAACUAACCAGAGGGUGUGUGUUUGUUUCAGUUUACCCAUCUCUGGAGUCUGAAGAGGAUAACCCUGUCUUCAAAUCCAGAUCCAAGAAGAGGAAAGGUUCAGACACUCCAUACAGCCCCACAGCACGUGUCGGUCCCUCUGUGCUUCGUCAGGCGAGGCCGGCCAGAGAAGGAGCAAGAGUGGCAUCCAUAGAGACAGGACUGGCGGCUGCUGCAGCCAAACUUUCUCACCAGGAGGAACAGCAGAAGACCAAGAAGAAGAAGAAAA